GACGAACGCUGGCGGCGUGCUUAACACAUGCAAGUCGAACGGAAAGGCCCUGCUUUGGUGGGGUGCUCGAGGGGCGAACGGGUGAGUAACACGUGAGUAACCUGCCCUUGACUGUGGGAUAACUUCAGGAAACUGGGGCUAAUACCGGAUAGGAGCUCCUGCUGCAUGGUGGGGGUUGGAAAGUUUAGGCGGUUGGGGAUGGACUCGCGCCUUAUCAGCUUGUUGGUGGGGUAGUGGCUUACCAAGGCCUUGACGGGUAGCCGGGCGGAGAGGGUGAGCGGCAACAUUGGGACUGAGAUACGGCCCAGACUCCUACGGGAGGCAGCAGUGGGGAAUAUUGCACAAUGGGCGGAAGCCUGAUCCAGCAACGCCGCGUGCGGGAUGACGGCCUUCGGGUUGUAAACCGCUUUCGCCUGUGACGAAGCGUGAGUGACGGUAAUGGGUAAAGAAGCACCGGCUAACUACGUG
rnacentral:rRNA from 1 species